AACGAACGCUGGCGGCAUGCCUAACACAUGCAAGUCGAACGAGACCUUCGGGUCUAGUGGCGCACGGGUGCGUAACGCGUGGGAAUCUGCCCUUGGGUUCGGAAUAACAGUUGGAAACGACUGCUAAUACCGGAUGAUGACGUAAGUCCAAAGAUUUAUCGCCCAGGGAUGAGCCCGCGUAGGAUUAGCUAGUUGGUGGGGUAAAGGCCUACCAAGGCGACGAUCCUUAGCUGGUCUGAGAGGAUGAUCAGCCACACUGGGACUGAGACACGGCCCAGACUCCUACGGGAGGCAGCAGUGGGGAAUAUUGAACAAUGGGCGAAAGCCUGAUCCAGCAAUGCCGCGUGAGUGAUGAAGGCCUUAGGGUUGUAAAGCUCUUUUACCCGGGAUGAUAAUGACAGUACCGGGAGAAUAAGCCCCGGCUAACUCCGUG
rnacentral:rRNA from 1 species